rnacentral:rRNA from 1 species
GAUGAACGCUGGCGGCGUGCCUAAUACAUGCAAGUCGAGCGAACGGACGAGAAGCUUGCUUCUCUGAUGUUAGCGGCGGACGGGUGAGUAACACGUGGAUAACCUACCUAUAAGACUGGGAUAACUUCGGGAAACCGGAGCUAAUACCGGAUAAUAUUUUGAACCGCAUGGUUCAAAAGUGAAAGACGGUCUUGCUGUCACUUAUAGAUGGAUCCGCGCUGCAUUAGCUAGUUGGUAAGGUAACGGCUUACCAAGGCAACGAUGCAUAGCCGACCUGAGAGGGUGAUCGGCCACACUGGAACUGAGACACGGUCAAGACUCCUACGGGAGGAAGCAGUAGGGAAUCUUCCGAAAUGGGCGAAAGCCUGACGGAGCAACGCCGCGUGAGUGAUGAAGGUCUUCGGAUCGUAAAACUCUGUUAUUAGGGAAGAACAUAUGUGUAAGUAACUGUGCACAUCUUGACGGUACCUAAUCAGAAAGCCACGGCUAACUACGUG